GUAGCUUCUCGACCUUUUGGCUAAGAUCAAGUGUAGUAUCUAUAAAUGUAGCUUAAUUUCCAAAUGUUUUAAAAUGGAAAACAGGCUGGAAAAAAAAAUUUUUUUUGAAGUAUAUUUGGUCACACAGACUCAAAUUCUAGAUGCUCACUGGCUGAUUUUAGCACAGGCGUGUUCUUUUAGCCCAACAUAC